rnacentral:rRNA from 1 species
AUUGAACGCUGGCGGCAGGCCUAACACAUGCAAGUCGAGCGGAUGAAGGGAGCUUGCUCCUGGAUUCAGCGGCGGACGGGUGGGUAAUGCCUAGGAAUCUGCCUGGUAGUGGGGGAUAACGUCCGGAAACGGGCGCUAAUACCGCAUACGUCCUGAGGGAGAAAGUGGGGGAUCUUCGGACCUCACGCUAUCAGAUGAGCCUAGGUCUGAUUAGCUAGUUGGUGGGGUAAAGGCCUACCAAGGCGACGAUCCGUAACUGGGCUGAGAGGAUGAUCAGUCACACUGGAACUGAGACACGGUCCAGACUCCUACGGGAGGCCGCAGUGGGGAAUAUUGGACACUGGGCGAAAGCCUGAUCCAGCCAUGCCGCGUGUGUGAAGAAGGUCUUCGGAUUGUAAAGCACUUUAAGUUGGGAGGAAGGGCAGUAUGUUAAUACCUUGCUGUUUUGACGUUACCAACAGAAUAAGCACCGGCUAACUUCGUG